CGUAGGAGGCAAGCGUUAUCCGGAUUCACUGGGCGUAAAGCGCGUGCAGGUGGCGCGGUAAGUUGGGCGUGAAAUCUCCCGGCUCAACUGGGAGAGGUCGUCCAAUACUACCGUGCUUGAGAGCAGAAGAGGAAGAUGGAAUUCCCGGUGUAGUGGUGAAAUGCGUAGAUAUCGGGAGGAACACCAGUGGCGAAGGCGAUCUUCUGGUCUGUUUCUGACACUCAGACGCGACAGCUAGGGUAGUAAACGGGAUUAGGGACCCCGGUAAUCCUAGCCGUAAACGAUGUGAACUUGGCGUUGGUGGGUCAAACUCCAUCAGUGCCGUAGCAAACGCGAUAAGUUCACCGCCUGGGGACUACGGCCGCAAGGUUA
rnacentral:rRNA from 1 species